GUCAAAACAAACCGACUGUAGCGGACAGGCGGCGUUUACUGAUGCCUCCUACUCGCGUGCAAGUCCACGAGAGUGUCAUACAGCUAGUCUUGUUACCAAAUAAUACUCGUAGUUGUAGUGAAUUCACAGGUUUUGUACACGGUUAACGGCCUACCUUCCGAUAUUGGCUCUGCUAGGAGAUGAGGUCCACGGAGUUGCUCUAGGCCGACCGUAUCCACCCCUGUUCUUCGACGCUAAUUUCUUCCUGCCAUUCAAGGACAUGUUUGAGAGGUGCAGCCGCGCGCCCAGUUUACUACUUGGAAAGUCAGCUGUCAUUUUGGACCCUUUCAAGUGAAACACAGUGACACCUUCUGGUUUGGCGUGAUAGGCCUACACUCAGACGGCAUGAGUA